CGGACGGGCCUUCGGCCCGUCCGAGCUUCGCUCGGUAUAAACUGUCUUGCUGUUAUGCCCUCUGGGCUCAAAUUGGAAUAAACUUAUCUAUACCCAAAGUAAGUAAUAAAUGGGUUCAAACUGUGAAAAUAAAAUUUUUACAUGUAGAUAUAUUGGAAUUUUUCAGAUAUAAGAAGGCAAAUAUAACUGUUCAAUGUAAAAUACGCCAGUAGUUGGAUAAAACAUCCAAAGUCGGCACAGUCAAAGGUCACAACAACAAUGGAGGAAUUAACUGCAUCCUCAUUCCGAAGGGCAGUAGGCCAUUUUCAGCAACCCCUGAAAUUCUUAAUUGAGGCUAAGUGCCCAUUUUCAGCUCGAACAAUGACAAUUAAAGAGGCCUGUGCAAAUGUUGGGAUUUCCCUCUUGAAUGUGAUGUAAGAGAUGGUUUGCUGCCCAUUAAAACAAAAUAUGAAUAUUGGCAUCAGAUUCAAGGACAACAACACCUGAAAGACACCCAAUGCUGUGAUUUGCUAGUGUGGAUUCCUAGUGACACUCAAAUACAUUGACAAAGAUGUAUUAUGGUCAACUUUUUAAGCGUGAUAGAGUUUAAUUAUAAUAAUAAAGUAUUUUUGCAGUCUAGAACACACACACAUAACCACAUGUACAUAUACUUUAUUAUGAUAUCAGUGGUGCAUCUAUCAAAGUUAUGUAAUUACAUGUAUAUUUAUUGAAUAAACAUUAUAGACAGAGUUUUUCUUAUUUUAGAUGAACCAAAAUUUGUAUAGACACAGUGUCCAGCUUUACGAAAAUCAUUGAAUUACAUGCAUUCACUAAAAACAAUGGAUUUUACUUCUUUUUUAAUAAUGCAGAUUUGAAAACCUUCAG